rnacentral:rRNA from 1 species
GGAUCCAGACUUUGAUCAUGGCUCAGGACGAACGCUGGCGGCGUGCCUAAUACAUGCAAGUAGAACGCUGAAGAGAGGAGCUUGCUCUUCUUGGAUGAGUUGCGAACGGGUGAGUAACGCGUAGGUAACCUGCCUUGUAGCGGGGGAUAACUAUUGGAAACGAUAGCUAAUACCGCAUAACAAUGGAUGACACAUGUCAUUUAUUUGAAAGGGGCAAUUGCUCCACUACAAGAUGGACCUGCGUUGUAUUAGCUAGUAGGUGAGGUAACGGCUCACCUAGGCGACGAUACAUAGCCGACCUGAGAGGGUGAUCGGCCACACUGGGACUGAGACACGGCCCAGACUCCUACGGGAGGCAGCAGUAGGGAAUCUUCGGCAAUGGGGGCAACCCUGACCGAGCAACGCCGCGUGAGUGAAGAAGGUUUUCGGAUCGUAAAGCUCUGUUGUAAGUCAAGAACGAGUGUGAGAGUGGAAAGUUCACACUGUGACGGUAGCUUACCAGAAAGGGACGGCUAACUACGUGCCAGCAGCCGCGGUAAUACGUAGGUCCCGAGCGUUGUCCGGAUUUAUUGGGCGUAAAGCGAGCGCAGGCGGUUUGAUAAGUCUGAAGUUAAAGGCUGUGGCUCAACCAUAGUUCGCUUUGGAAACUGUCAAACUUGAGUGCAGAAGGGGAGAGUGGAAUUCCAUGUGUAGCGGUGAAAUGCGUAGAUAUAUGGAGGAACACCGGUGGCGAAAGCGGCUCUCUGGUCUGUAACUGACGCUGAGGCUCGAAAGCGUGGGGAGCGAGCAGGAUUAGAUACCCUGGUAGUCCACGCCGUAAACGAUGAGUGCUAGGUGUUGGAUCCUUUCCGGGAUUCAGUGCCGCAGCUAACGCAUUAAGCACUCCGCCUGGGGAGUACGACCGCAAGGUUGCAACUCAAAUGAAUUGACGG